UCCCGUUUAGCUCAGCUGGUAGAGCGCGUCACUAGUAUAUUACAUAAUUAUGACGAGGUCAGUCGUUCAAGUCGGCUAAUGGGAA